rnacentral:rRNA from 1 species
GAUGAACGCUGGCGGCGUGCCUAAUACAUGCAAGUCGAGCGAACAGACGAGGAGCUUGCUCCUCUGACGUUAGCGGCGGACGGGUGAGUAACACGUGGAUAACCUACCUAUAAAACUGGGAUAACUUCGGGAAACCGGAGCUAAGACCGGAUAAUAUAUUGAACCGCAUGGUUCAAUAGUGAAAGACGGUUUUGCUGUCACUUAUAGAUGGAUCCGCGCCGCAUUAGCUAGUUGGUAAGGUAACGGCUUACCAAGGCGACGAUGCGUAGCCGACCUGAGAGGGUGAUCGGCCACACUGGAACUGAGACACGGUCCAGACUCCUACGGGAGGCAGCAGUAGGGAAUCUUCCGCAAUGGGCGAAAGCCUGACGGAGCAAAGCCGCGUGAGUGAUGAAGGUCUUCGGAUCGUAAAACUCUGUUAUUAGGGAAGAACAAAUGUGUAAGUAACUAUGCACGUCUUGACGGUACCUAAUCAGAAAGCCACGGCUAACUACGUG